UCCAAACCACGCUUUCCUUUCUGAAUAGCCACACCUCUAGAUUGCCAAGACCACGCCUCUCCCAGGGAUUUUGAUAUAUUUCCCCCUCUCCGCCCGCCCCCGUUCGCAUAGCCAUGCUCUCCUUGACAACCGCCCCUUUUCAUGCUUAGUACGUGACAGACAGUAGCACCUAUCCAAUAAAAAGGACACACUCUGUACAUUCUGCCUGUUAAAGGAAAGCAAUCAGAAUAAGAAUAAAAGAAUAAGAAUAAAACGAGGAGCAAGAGGAGGAGGAGGAGGAUCUUAAAUGUUUGAAGGAGACUUAUUGCUGAGAGUUACCAGCUUCUCUGCCUCUACUCCGGACUGGCAAGUACUUAAGCCAAUUAAAAUUACAACUAGACAUUACUUACAAGCCAAUGGAAGAACAGACAAAAGAAUAAAAAGGUUGGGAACGAAGCAAGUGCCCAGUGGCCUGAAACAGCGCCCGUUUGAGAGCUAUUGAGAAGCAGAGAGGGAACAAGCGAGCGAGCCUGGGAAAAUGGGUCACUGCGCAGGCAGCCGCGCAACUGAAACUAAAACGCACGAUUUGCUAUGUAUGUAGUCUAAGAAACCGGGAUGGGAAGAUUAUCGAACAAUGAUUGAGGGAGAAGAAUGCAUGAGGAAGGAGGCAGUGACAGGUGACCUAAAAUAAUAGGCGCAUGUGGAAUAAUCAUUGAAAGAAGAAAAUUCAAAUCAAGGACAUAUCCACCUAGCCACUAUCACUACAGUGCAACAUCAUAACCGUACCUGUUCCUGCAUGAUGUGACUGCAUGACUCCACCUGCACCCUGUGGUUUGCCCAUUUCUAAGAAAUCCUAGUCUAGUGGCUCAUUGUGCCUUUUGACAUAGCAAGAUUGGGCUUUCAGUCACCGUGCAGCACACUGGGCCAACUGAAGAUAUAACCUAGUUUUAGGAAACUCCCUUUUCAUCUGCAUUUCAGCUACAGAGUCAUCCACUUAUUCACCAUUUGCCCACUUGAGAAUCAGACCAUUCUGGUGUUUUUAACUGUUGUGGUAACUGGCCCAGCAACUGUAACUCCUUGUUCAUCAAAUGCAUUUUCUGCCAUCAUAUUCUAAAUUGUCAAGGGAUGACAAUUUAAUUCCCAAAACUUGUGGCAAAAGGCUACUGGUCAUCAUAAGUCUAGAUAAACUCUAGCUAAGCAUUUAAAGGUACUUUGGGUAAGCUGUGACCAAUAAUCUGUUAUGCAUGCUUUUUUCCAUUUUUAGCUGUGGCAGUUUAUUUGUGUGAGACUUUAUACCUAAGAACUUAUAUUUGGAGUUACAAUGCUUUUAUAGCUUUAAGCCUCUUUGGGGAAGUACAAACCAAUAAAAUUAAAGUGUGGGAAGAA